rnacentral:rRNA from 1 species
UACGUAGGGUGCAAGCGUUGUCCGGAAUUAUUGGGCGUAAAGAGCUCGUAGGCGGCUUGUCGCGUCGGCUGUGAAAACCUGGGGCUCAACCCCGGGCCUGCAGCCGAUACGGGCAAGCUAGAAUUCGGUAGGGGAGACUGGAAUUCCUGGUGUAGCGGUGAAAUGCGCAGAUAUCAGGAGGAACACCGGUGGCGAAGGCGG